GGGUUCCGGGACUUCUAGGAAAAAAUCUGAGAUUUGGAAAGAUGAAAUGACUUACCCAAACUCACAAGAGAAAGAGGGGCCACCUGAGGGCAGUCCAUACUGCGACAUGAGGACCAGAGGAAAGUAAGAACUUGGCAGCCACUCAGCUAAUCCUAGCCAGCUGUGUCUGCCACUCAAAAUGGUAAAAAGAUGAAGACAGAAGUUAUGUCACCAUAU